UACGCGAGUCACUGGGACUUCUGCAAUCCCAAAGGCGAAGCGAAAGCGAAGGGCCCUCCGCCUCCGGGCGAAGGGGGCCUUAGGGCUGAUGGGCGGCGCCAGCGUCGCCCCGCAAGCCCGGGGCGUCCCGUUUCUCGCCCGCGCGUCGUUUCGGCGUUCGCAGCGGGGCCGAGUUGGGGCGCACCUAGAGCGUACGCGCCGGGACCCGAAAGAUGGUGAACUAUGCUCGGUCAGGACGAAGUCAGGGGAAACCCUGAUGGAGGUCCGCCGCGAUUCUGACGUGCAAAUCGAUCGUCGGAACUGAGUAUAGGGGCGAAAGACUAAUCGAACCAUCUAGUAGCUGGUUCCCUCCGAAGUUUCCCUCAGGAUAGCUGGCACACGGAAACUUCGAGUCUCAUCCGGUAAAGCGAAUGAUUAGAGCUGUUGGGGUCGAAACGACCUCGAACUAUUCUCAAACUUUAAAUGGGUGAGAGCUCCGGCUUGCUCGAACGCGUCCGGCCGCAAGGCCGGAGGUGAAGCCGCGAGACCUCUCGGAUCAGUGCGCCAAGUGGGCCACUUUUGGUAAGCAGAACUGGCGCUGUGGGAUGAACCAAACGCCGAGUUAAAGCGCCCAAAUCGACGCUCAUAGGACAC
rnacentral:rRNA from 1 species